rnacentral:rRNA from 1 species
AUUGAACGCUGGCGGCAGGCUUAACACAUGCAAGUCGAGCGGAUGAAGGGAGCUUGCUCCUGGAUUCAGCGGCGGACGGGUGAGUAAUGCCUGGGAAUCUGCCUGGUAGUGGGGGAUAACGUCCGGAAACGGGCGCUAAUACCGCAUACGUCCUGAGGGAGAAAGUGGGGGAUCUUCGGACCUCACGCUAUCAGAUGAGCCUAGGUCGGAUUAGCUAGUUGGUGGGGUAAAGGCCUACCAAGGCGACGAUCCGUAACUGGUCUGAGAGGAUGAUCAGUCACACUGGAACUGAGACACGGUCCAGACUCCUACGGGAGGCAGCAGUGGGGAAUAUUGGACAAUGGGCGAAAGCCUGAUCCAGCCAUGCCGCGUGUGUGAAGAAGGUCUUCGGAUUGUAAAGCACUUUAAGUUGGGAGGAAGGGCAGUAAGUUAAUACCUUGCUGUUUUGACGUUACCAACAGAAUAAGCACCGGCUAACUUCGUG